ACCAAUGGCUGUCCAGGCUUGGUUCCAUAUCUCGCCCAAUAGGGAGGCCGGAUAUGUUCCAUAAGAGAGAAUCAAACUUUUGGGGCUUUUGGCGUCCAAUCGGUGAGGCGGAUUUGUUCCAUAAUUCUCAGCAAUCUCUCCUCCGUCCGCCAUUGUUUUUUCACACUGACUGACUUCAACCAAGCGACACUGAGGAGAUGCAGGGUCCUGAUGGCCAGCCAGGAUACCAGCAUGUCCUGAAGCUGGCCAAGGCCCUGCUGGAAGCCAGGAGCCUUCAGGGGCUUUCUGACAAGAGGGUGGACGAACUCAUGGCCCUCUGGCAACGCCUGCCCGAGCCGUCUACCCUCCCAGACACCGGGAGAGGCAGCUGAAGGGGCGGUUCAAGACAGCGAAGGGGAAGAACACCUCCUGUCCUGGGAAUGAUAGCACUUUUUUAUUUAAUUGUCUUUUAUCUUUAUUUAUUUGAAUCUAUUUUUAAAAUAAAACUCUGAACUGAA